AAAAACAAAAAAAAUUUCUUCUGGAAUUUAUCAAAAGGGUGUUGGUGUUAUGCUUCAUUUUAAGAGAAGUUAAGAGGAGCUGAUCGCUUAUUUUAGAUAAAUAAUAAGGAAUAGAAAGUUGAGAAAAUUUCUUCUGCAAUUUGUCAAAAGGGUGUUGUUCUAUGCUUCAUUUUAAGAAGAAGUUAGAACUAAAUUGACUGAGCAGUUAUGAGGAACUGAUCGC